rnacentral:rRNA from 1 species
AGAGUUUGAUCCUGGCUCAGAACGAACGCUGGCGGCGUGGAUAAGACAUGCAAGUCGAGCGCUGAUUACAGGGUAGCAAUAUUCUGUGGUCGGAGCGGCGCAAGGGUGCGUAACACGUGGGCAAUCUGCCGUGAAGUCCGGGACAACUUGCUGAAAGGCGAGCUAAUACCGGAUGUGAAAAUCUGGAGGCAUCUUUUGAUUUUCAAAGUUGGGGACCGUAAGGCCUGACGCUUCAUGAUGAGCCCGCGGCCUAUCAGCUAGUUGGUGAGGUAACGGCCCACCAAGGCUAAGACGGGUAGCUGGUCUGAGAGGACGACCAGCCACACUGGAAAUGAGACACGGUCCAGACACCUACGGGUGGCAGCAGUCGAGAAUUUUUCACAAUGGGCGCAAGCCCGAUGGAGGGACGCCGCGUGGGGGAUGAAUGGCUUCGGCCCCUAACCUUACUGUCAUUUGCGAUCAACCGUUAUUAUUUAAAAGAUGAUAACCUGAUAGUAGCGAAAGAGGAAGGGUCGGUU